rnacentral:antisense_RNA from 1 species
CUUGAGGCUGCCGAGCCACAGCGGGCGGUCCGCCGCGCGGCCCUGUCCAUAGGUGGCGAGCAGCGCCUGGGCCUC